rfam:Desulfofustis glycolicus DSM 9705 genome assembly, contig: EJ46DRAFT_scaffold00007.7
UUUUCCCUGCGCUGUUGGUGAUUUGUAGUGUUGUUGAGCCAACCCUCACAGUUAGGGAGCCACCACUGUCAGUCAGAUGAGCAAUCCAACGAUUUCUCAGACGUUGAUAUGCGGUUCCCACCUAUCUCGAUAGGUUUAACGUGUUCUACAAACACGGCAGGGUGGGGAAAAU